GCCUCGGUGGUGUAGUCGUAGAGCACGCGUUCCCGGAUAGGAUGUAGCACGGGUUUCGAUUCCCGCCUGAGGCC